rnacentral:rRNA from 1 species
UACGAAGGGGGCUAGCGUUGCUCGGAAUCACUGGGCGUAAAGGGCGCGUAGGCGGACUUUUAAGUCGGAGGUGAAAGCCCAGGGCUCAACCCUGGAAUUGCCUUCGAUACUGGGAGUCUUGAGUUCGGAAGAGGUUGGUGGAACUGCGAGUGUGGAGGUGAAAUUCGUAGAUAUUCGCAAGAACACCAGUGGCGAAGGCGGCCGACUGGUCCGGUUCUGACGCUGAGGCGCGAAAGCGUGGGGAGCAAACAGG